rnacentral:lncRNA from 1 species
UAGGUGAUUUAUAAGAUCAUUUUAAAGGCUGCUUGUGUAAAGAUUUGACAUUGGAACUGAGAGUUUGAAGAUAUCUUCAGCAACCUUAAAAUUGAGGAGACAAAAAUAUACCACUAUUUUUCACAGGACUUAAAGGCAAGCAAGAAAGCGAGGGGGCUUGAAAUGAAAUGCUCCGACUGGAAAUGUUGGAUGUGAAAGCAAGAUUCAAUUUUAUAACAGAAUGCCUUCUACCCAAGGAUGGAUCCCUCCUUUAGAGAUGCUUAAAGAAAGUAUUAUCCCUGGGGAAGAAUGGAGAUAUGUGCAAGAAGACUGUAUAUGUAGAAAGUUCUCAGUACCCUUUUCGGUAUCUGGAGGAUGCAUGAGGUAUCUCGCGCUUACUUUAUUUCAUGCAGUAAACACAAUUUUAUGGACGGGAUUUUCUUCCAGUCUAGUCCAAGUCCUCUGA